rnacentral:misc_RNA from 1 species
AUCUCGUCAGUCGGUGACUAUUAAUGGAGUCUGGAUUUGUUUGUAUUUUAUAAUAAAUCAAAGUUUAAAAUCACAAAGUAUGCUUUACUACGAUAAAUUACAGUAGUGUAUUUUAUUGUGAUGUAUACAAGAAAUUUAAAUCACAGGUUAGAUACUGUGGGUUGUAACUAUGGGUGUUUGUUUUAUAUGAGUUUAGGCCUUUUAUUAAGGCCUGCUUAGUUUGUAGAAAAUGGCUACAAACAAUACAUCAAAGAAUCAAUGCCAAGGCCCACAAACAAAAACGUUCCAGCAUCAACAACAUCAGCAGUUAUCGGUCCAACAACCUAAAAAUCUCAAUUAUGAACCAUUGGACAAAUCAUCUAGCAACACACUAAAGCGAAAUCCAAAAAUGGAGUUCAGUAAAGCGGAUCUACUUAAACUACUAAGUUAUUUGGAAGGGGAAUUACAGGCCCGGGAUAUUGUUAUUGCAACUUUAAAGUCGGAGAAAGUAAAGCAAUUACUGACACAAGGUCGGUAUCGGCCGCUGACCCUAAACGAACCUAUGGCCGCUUUGCACCGGGACAACUUUGCCGCAGUUAGCUCCAAGGUGGAUGAGGCACAGAUAUGCAGUCUGGCGGAGCAUCAGCUCAGUUCUCUGGAGAACUUAGUUCUGCAGCAACGCCGAGCUCAGAUAAGAAUAGCUAGGGUUCUUAAAGAUGCUGAAAUAAGACAUAGAAAGGUUGUCCAGGAAUUGGUGGAAGAAAAGAGGAAACAUGAACAUGACACAGCACAGGGUGAUGAUAUAACUUAUGGUUUAGAGAAAGAACGAACACGGUUAAAACAGGAAUUAGAAAUGGAAAGGCAAUCAAAAAAGCGGUUAGAAAAAGAACUGAAAAAACUUAGUGAAAUAGCAGAUGAGGAGAAAAAUAGACAGAAACAAAUAGUAUUAUUAUUGUUAGCAGAAAGAAAAAAAAUUAUUAUGAAAUAUGUUGAAGAGAGGAAGAGAUCUGAGGACUUGGCACAGAUAUUAACAGAGGAAAAGGGACGGAUGGACUCAAUGGCUGAAGGUUUAGAAGAAGAGAGUAAAAAGUCAUUACAAAUGGAAGCCGAAUUAGAAAAGCAGCUAGCGCAAUUUGAUUCUGAGAGUCAGCAAUUAAAGGCUAAUUUGUUAAAAGAAGAAAAGAGAGCUAAGGAUUUGGAGAGUGAGUUAGAGCGAGCAAAAGGGGAAGUGGCAUCUCUGGAGAAGCAGUUGGCUGAGGCCCAUCAAGUAGCCAUGUUCCAAGCCAACGCCAACCUUGUGGGUACGAUGGUUCACCCACGUGCUCCUCCUCCUCCAUCCAAGCCUUCUAUCAUCCCACCACAGACCUCUCCAAGGCUAACACCCCCUGGCAAGAGCAGUGUGUGGGUUGAAGGCAGUGUGGAAGGAGGAACUCCUAUGAUGAGCGUGGCUAAAGUAGUCCAGCCCACUGCUACUGUCUCCAGUGUACCUGUUUGUGGUCCUACCACUGGUAUUGCCCGCUCCGUGUCCCCGGGUCAGAGCUUGCGAAGUGUUGCUGUGGCAUUUCCUUCAACAACCACUGCUACACCACUUCCUGUUGAGGUUGACAAGCGGUCAGGUGGUGUGACCAGUGGCAAUACUGUCGUAGCCGCAGGAGUGUUACCCAUGGCUCCCAGGAUGGCGUCUCCAGCCACUAAACUGUUCCCUGGCCAGGCCAAGGUGCCCUUCCUCGCGGCAGACACCAAGAAACAACCAGCUGUAGGUCGUGGUGCACCCCCUCCCGUUCCUCCCAAUAAACCUGUGGUCCCUCCCAAGAAAGAUACAAUUCUCUGUCGGAGAGGAGACAGUGCCAUCUCUGUAGACGAGCCCAAAUCUAGUCCCCAAGCUCUCAAGUAUGGGAUGACAGCUAAGGAGAACAAGGUGGUUCACAGUGGUGCGGGGGCGGUGGGAGAGCAGUAGAGUCUAACCAAUGGAAACAACACAAGCCACGGCAAGGAAUUCUAGUCCACAGUGUCUCAUAAACUCUUCAGCUCUCACUCCGUGGAUUUGAAAGCAAUCACAAGGUGAAGUAAGGCUACUUAUAUGACCACAGGACCACAUAUAUCUACAAUAAAGUGUUAACCAUUGUUUUUGCAAAUAGUGGCUAUUCAGUUAUGGUGAACAGACAUUAAAAAAUUGUAUCUAUUACUUUUAAGUUUUUUACUCAAUCUUUUUUUAUAAUGAAAGUGUGAUCAUAUAUUAUAGAGAAUUCUAUGAAAACAUUAGUUUUAUUUUCAUUAUAGUAAGUUAAUGAACCGUAAUUUUUAAAGGAAACGUAAAGCUUAUAGCGUAAACAAAGUGUCUAUGUAAUAUCAAUACCUAUAAAAUUGUAACCGACAUUUGUAAAAACUAGUCUAUUCAGUUGGGAUGUUAAUACAUAGAUAGGUAAGAAGCCUGAUAUACCUGAAGAGUAGAUUUUAGGAUAGAACUAAAAUGUUCCCUUGCGAUAUUAUUAAAUAUUGUAAAUGUGUAUAAAGAGGUUAAGUUUGUAUAUAUAUCUGACUGGUGACUACAACCAAUUUGUAGUUCUCAGUCGAGGUAGUGUUGUACUCGAUAAUCGAUACCAAAAUAUCCUGUGAGUGAACCGUCUGGCUUACAAGCUUCUCAAAUCAUACGGCUUUACAAAUUCAUAUAUGAACAAUUUAUUAACAAUAGUGUUUAAAAGAUGAUUCUAGAAAUUAUUCUUGUAUUUGGUAUAGUACAGUUAUAAACAUUUUAGGAUUGUCGGAAACUCUAUAAUAAAGAAUGUGAUUUUAACCAAGAAAAGCUUCUCUAAAUAAGCCCUGCCUCUUUCCACUUAAAUCCUUCCAUUGAAUGAUUAUUUCCAAAUAAAUGGACAAUACUGGCAUGUGUUAUUUGUAAUUUAUCAACCAGUUGGAUUUUUGAAUUGAAACUUGGUUUAAGUAAUAAGCUAAUUAUAUCCAAAUUUCAAUAAAAAUUGGAAAAUAUGUAAAAAUUCUCCAUUUUAUAAUGGUAGCUUCCAAGCAAAAUAAAACAAUGUUGGGCUGCUUGACUAAAAUUAUUUCAAUGGUCGGUCAAUGAUUUGAAAUGGUUGGGCUUAUAACAUUUGAAUUAAAAUAAUGAACCAGUUUUGACAAUUCUGUAAUAUUUCAAAUUAGUAAAUUUGUAUGUAAUAUAAAAAAAAAAAAAAUACCAAUUUCAUGCUAGGUUGGAUAGGGAAUAUUUAGAUACUAAUUUACUUCACAAAUAAUACCAUAAGUUAAUUAGUCCAUGACUGAGAGCUAAUUUGUAUUGUAUAUGCACAUUAUCUAAUAUUUCAUGAAGUUGAUAAAGAAAUCAAUUGUCAGCCAUACUAGUUUUGGUAGGGUCAACAUGGAAUGGUAUUAAGAAUUUAAUAAAAUGUCAAAUCUCAAUUCUUUUGUUACAUCAUAUUUAUUAGCUCGACAAACCAUCAGACAUAUAAAUAAUAGUUAUAACACAGUUAGGUAAUGAGUCAAAGAGACUGAAAGUUGGCAUUUUCAUCAAAAUAGUUGGUCUUCAUGUGGUUGGUUGUUACUCAAUUGUAUAUUUACUUGUCUGACAAUUGGUCUAAAAAAACUUUAAAAACCUCACAUUAUGAUCCCCAUCAAAACUAGUAUUACUGACUAUAAAUUUUAUUAUUACGAGAAAUUAAUCUGUUGAUGUAAUGAAAAAUUAGGCUGUGUGCUUAUAUAAUGCAAACUGGUUCUCAGUUUAUAGUCUGUAUCAAUUAAAAAGAAAAUUGGAUUACUGUUUCUAUGAAGUGGCAUUGGUACAAGAGUAUUGAUUGUGGUGGAGUGGGGGGAUGUGUAGAGCAACUAGACAUUGGCCUUUUUCUCUCUCUAUCAGUACAAUUAAGUUCAAGGUAAAGGUUACAUCUGUAAUUGUACCAAUGUCAUUGUUGUGAUUUUAACAAACACCGGUUCAACAGUAAUGUGUAUUGAGGAUUGUGAUGGACCCAUAUUUUAUCAUAAAACACUAGUUUAUGGAAAAAGUCCUUUCCUUUUUAUUGGAAUCAAUUCAUGAACUGUGUUUGAUUAGAUAUUUAUUAUCCUCAAAUGGUGCAAUAACUCAACUAACAAUUUUAUUGAGCUUUUUUGAAAAUAAUUUGUUGCACAAUUUAUGAUGUAAUCUCUACAAGACAAGGCUGUAUGGUUGAGUAAAACAUCACUAAGGGACAUGCGUGUGUUAAUCCUUUUACUACAUCCAAUCCAACCAACACUACUGCUGCCCAUUUCAGUUGGGUAAGCUAUGGCCUGGUUUAUAAUUCUAAUGCUUGAAAAUUCACAUCUCGAAAUAUAAAUAUAGAGUUUCUGAACAAUCCACACAAGUUUUAUUGGUUAUUUAUUUUCAACUCAGAGAAGUGUAAACCUGUUUAUUCCAUUGAUCAUUUUCUUAAAGUCUUGUGUACAACAUUUCAUAACGUUUUCAAUUUUGAAGAAAGAAUGUUUAUGAAUCAGUACUCAGGGGUCAAUACAUUUUGUGUCUUUCUUAAUGAAACAAAAAAACAAAUAAAUAUAAAUGAAAGAAAAGUAAACUGUUUAGCCAGCU